AUUUCAUAUUCUUUCACUUUUGGUCCCUCUUUUCAUCAAGUCAAUAGAAUCUGCAUAAAUUACGUACAUGUAGUUUCAAAUUCCUUCCACUUUUGGUCCUUGUAAUUUCAGAUUCCUCCACUUUUGGUCCCUCAUUUUACGUGCCAUGUAUGCAGAUUCUGCUUACGUGGUGGAAUGAGGGACCAAAAGUGGAAGAAUCUGAAAU
rnacentral:pre_miRNA from 1 species